AGUGAACGCUGGCGGCAUGCCUUACACAUGCAAGUCGAACGGCAGCGCGGACUUCGGUCUGGCGGCGAGUGGCGAACGGGUGAGUAAUGUAUCGGAACGUACCUUUCAGUGGGGGAUAACGUAGCGAAAGUUACGCUAAUACCGCAUAUUCUGUGAGCAGGAAAGCAGGGGAUCGCAAGACCUUGCGCUGAUUGAGCGGCCGAUAUCAGAUUAGCUAGUUGGUGAGGUAAAGGCUCACCAAGGCGACGAUCUGUAGCGGGUCUGAGAGGAUGAUCCGCCACACUGGAACUGAGACACGGUCCAGACUCCUACGGGAGGCAGCAGUGGGGAAUUUUGGACAAUGGGGGCAACCCUGAUCCAGCCAUGCCGCGUGAGUGAAGAAGGCCUUCGGGUUGUAAAGCUCUUUCGGCCGGGAAGAAAUCGUACGGGUUAAUACCCUGUGCGGAUGACGGUACCGGCAUAAGAAGCACCGGCUAACUACGUGCCAGCAGCCGCAGUAA
rnacentral:rRNA from 1 species